GAUGAACGCUAGCGAUAGGCUUAACACAUGCAAGUCGAGGGGCAUCACAUGAGUAGCAAUACGAUGGUGGCGACCGCCGCACGGGCGAGUAACACGUAUGCAACCUGCCCGUAACUGGGGACUAACCCGUCGAAAGGCGGACUAAUACCGCAUAAUAAUGGUUUACUGCAGGGUGAAUCAUUUAAAGAUUUAUCGGUUACGUAUGGGCAUGCGUUCCAUUAGGUAGUUGGUAGGGUAACGGCUUACCAAGUCUACGAUGGAUAGGGGUUCUGAGAGGAAGGUCCCCCACACUGGUACUGAGACACGGACCAGACUCCUACGGGAGGCAGCAGUGAGGAAUAUUGGUCAAUGGGCGAGAGCCUGAACCAGCCAAGUCGCGUGAAGGAUGAAGGUAUUAUGUAUUGUAAACUUCUUUUGUCAGGGAAUAAAGUGCGGCACGUGUGCUGUUUUGUAUGUACCUGAAGAAUAAGGAUCGGCUAACUCCGUGCCAGCCGCCGCCGUAACAC
rnacentral:rRNA from 1 species